ACAGCCAGUGAGUGGGCUGGGCUGCGGUGCUCUCUGCCUCUCCCAUCACAAAAUCACCCCAAUAACAUAAUUUAAACUUGACUUAGAAGCUGUGCCCCGUGUGUGCCAAUGCACUGAAACAUGGCUACAGGCCCUGCAGACAUCAGAUGGACAGUUGGUGUGUCUGUGUGAUAGCCCCAAAUGCCUCCAGCACACCCAGUGCCACAGCAACCGGUACUUCUCCUCUGUCAAAGGGGGCAGCAGCGGGGUGAUGUUUGAGCGUGGCUGCCUGCAAGGGUCGGAGAAAAUCCGUUUGCAUUGCUCCACAGCUCUGUCCUUCCACCAGGCCAUUUUCUGCUGCGUCCAGGACAUGUGUAACAGCAACACCACCAGGAGCUAUCUGAUGUCUCUGCUGCCAUCAGGUACAUAUAACCUGCUGCCAGCUCCAGGCCAUGGCAGAGACUAGCAGCAUAGAUGUCAUCUCCAAACAUGGAGGCUGCGUCUUGUUUCAAAGAGCUGAGGGAUGCUUGCUUAUACCAAACUGUGGUGUUCAAUGGCAACAAAUAAAUACAAUGCACAAAUGUGUUUUUAUGAAGUCCAUUCAGUACCUUCUGGAGCUGGAACUAUCUCAUAUUACAUGUACAGUACCAGUACACUUCUCAAGGUGUGUCCAAACCUUUGACUUGUACUGUAUGUAACAUAAAAAUAGAGCAGAUUACUUACAAAUAUGUCUGAAAAAAAGAAACUAUUACUAGUUAAUGAAAGUGUGGUCAUAUUGAGAAAGUUUAAAAGAAAAUCAUGGAGAAGGAUUGUUGAAGAUGAUAAUAUUUUUUCAAAUUUCAAUCUAUAACCUCCCACCUCACUAAAAGUUCCUAUUAUUCGGAAUUAGAUUAAUAAAUGAACAUGAAAAAAAAAGACUGAACAGAUACCUUGAUUUUGUCCAUACAAUCUCUGGUGUUCAGGCCACAAAUACAUUGCAAAUUGCCUCUAAUAUUCCGAUCUGUGGUGUUCCCGGCCAGAUCCAAACACUUCUGCUCCUCAGCAUCAGAUAAUACGGUUGUAUUACAUCCGAAACACAUCUAAAACUGCAUUUCAGUUUCAGAUGUGCAUGGUUAGUCAGGAGAUGGAGGGUCAUAUUGGUUUUUGUGCACCUUUUAAGAACUCUUUUUUUUUUGAGGGGGGGUAUCUGAUCCUCAGCAUGCAUGGAUGAAGGAACAAGGAAGCACAGUUGCACUUUUUAAAUCAAGCAAUCAUAUAGUAGUCGAAAUGAAAUGUGAAAUGAAAUGUGAACUUUUCCAAGAUUUCCAGUGAGAGUAUACAGGAAAUUGUGAGCCACCCAAAUCUUGAUGU